rnacentral:rRNA from 1 species
AUUGAACGCUGGCGGCAGGCUUAACACAUGCAAGUCGAGCGGGGUAGGUUGCUUCGGUAACUGACCUAGCGGCGGACGGGUGAGUAAUGCUUAGGAAUCUGCCUAUUAGUGGGGGACAACAUUCCGAAAGGGGUGCUAAUACCGCAUACGCCCUACGGGGGAAAGCAGGGGAUCUUCGGACCUUGCGCUAAUAGAUGAGCCUAGGUCGGAUUAGCUAGUUGGUGGGGUAAAGGCCUACCAAGGCGACGAUCUGUAGCGGGUCUGGGAGGAUGACCAGCCAAACUGGGACUGAGACACGGGCCAGACCCCUGCGGGAGGGAGCAGUGGGGAAUAUUGGGCAAUUGGCGGAAGCCUGAUCCAGCCAUGCCGCGUGUGUGAAGAAAGCCUUUUGGUUGUAAAGCACUUUAAGCGAGGAGGAGGCUACUAGUACUAAUACUACUGGAUAGUGGACGUUACUCGCAGAAUAAGCACCGGCUAACUCUGUGCCAGCCGCCGCCGUAACAC